rnacentral:lncRNA from 1 species
AGAGCAACAGAAUACUGUGCUGAGGCCCCAAAACAGAAAGGAAAGCUCACCACCAGAAUGUGCCUUUUCCUUAUCAAAAAGAAUUGCUGCCCCUUACAGGACAGGAGGACUCCAAUUGUGACCAAGUUGGAGCAGCCUUGAGCCACAACUCAGACUUAUUUUCAUUCUCUGCUCAUUGGCCAUUAGGAACCCGAUCCUUAUGACCUGCAGUGACCUGCUGCUACCAGAACUGACUCGCUUCAAAGUGACGGAUGAAACCCAUAUGGAGAUAUUCCUGGGGUGGGUAGGCCAGUUGGAAGACAGAGUGUUUACACCUGAGAGAGGACUUGAGGAUUGCUGUUUUAGAGAAUUGAAGAUCCUUCAUCUUCAAGAAUCUGAAAUCUACCAUGAUCUUCACAUGUAGCCAAACACAAUGGGAUGUAGUCAUUUAAGAGUGCUGUGAAGGCAGUGAAAAGCAGUUGAAAUACCAUUAGUUAACAGAUUGCCCAAUGAAGUCGAUGACAACUGUGAUAACAAGUUACUCACUAUCACAGCGUCUCCAAGAGAUGAACAGUGGAUGAUGCUUCCAAAGCACAGAUGUCCCUCUCCUCCUCAACCUUCUCUCCCCAGAAAGAUGUCAACACUGUGGAGAUUGUGCUAUGAAGAUACCUGGUGUGGCAUUGCAAUAGAUGAAAUAUUAAGGGCAAUUCAACAAUUUUCUGAACAAAUACAUGGAUUUAACUUGAAGUUGAAUUUAAUUUGACUUCAAGAAAAAUUAUAUUUCUGGUCCUCCUAUGAUCAUGCACUAAGAAUUAUUUAACUGCAGAUACAAUUGUUACCUUUAGAGCUAGAAGGCCUCAUUUUAGAAUUAAAAUGAAUGGCAACCCAGACAGAUAAA